AGAAGUUUGCAGUUUUAGCGCUUAACAGAAAGCUUCCAGAUAUUUGCAAGUGUUUCUUGCUUGUAUUUGUUGUACUAUAAACCUGGAGUAGUAUGUAAGUAGAAAGAGCUGUGCAAAAUUAUCAACGGUCCUCUGGCAUCUUCCCUGCCUCCUGCCCUGAGGCCCCCUACCACUGUAUGAGAGCAGAUUUGCUUUGUGGUGUUCCCUGAAGGGCAGUAAGCUGACCCUGCAUGCUCGUACUUACUCAGAAGCAACUUCUUGUGGAGUUGCACAGUGUGUUACUACUGAGAGAAGUAGGGUUUUGACAUAGAAUGUCUUUAAAGACACGUAUCUAUGUACAGUGUGACUAUGUUCUUCAGUGAUAUUCCAAGAAUUUUCAAUUCACUUUGUCACAUCAUCUUUGUGGUAUGUCAUGUAUUUUUCUUUCAGAUAUUUAGAAAUCUACAUUAAGUCAUUUGUAUUAGGAAAUUUACAGUUAAGAAAGUGGUAGGUUAAGUGUUCCAAGGUGUGAUAGUGAGUUUGUUUUGAUUACCUGCCUUCACCUGACUGUCCUAGCAUGGAUUCUGAUCUUUGCAGUUUGCUUUGCCCUCAUCAUUUAUGUAUCUUUGAAUGUGCAUUUUGGUAAUACUUGGGUUGCCAGUAAGUUCUAUGACAUUGCAGUGUUUAAAAGUUAAAUGUGUGUGUAAAAUACUUUUUUUAACGAUGAUUACUGAAGUAUAUGACAAUAGAAGUUUGGUUUAUAUGUUAAGCUUGUAAGAGGAAACGCUUUUAGUUAACACAUAGUUGGACAAAAUAGAAACCAGCUAAUUCUGUCCUUUAGCUGCAGAGAAAAUGGCAAGAAACUACACACACAUGCACACAUAUGAAAUUUAGGAACUACUCUGGUGUGCUAAAUCAGUUUUCGUUAUUCAGAAGAGUAACUUGGCUUACAUAAUUAGAAAUUGAUUGAAGUGCUGCAUCUUGGAAACUUUGCCUCUAAUGUUACUAAAUUCAUGUUCUUGUUUGGAGAGAGCAUGGACUGGUUCACGAUUAAUAUACAGUGAAUUCACCACUGCCAGGGAUAUACGUGAGGCUGGAAUUCCAGAUUAUGGAAGAAUCCGGACAGUACACGUCCUGUGUGUUACAAUCCAUAGCAAUGGGCCUAGCAGCCUCGCUGCGUUUGUGCUGCGUGGAUUCCUCACUCCUGGCACGAGGAAUGCUGAGCAGCGCGCUGUGGGCACAGCCAGGUGGCUCCGUAAGGCCCACGUAAGGUCCACAUCACACACAGCGCAACCAGCGCUGCCCUCAAGCUGGCUGCUCAAAGGCAGUUUGUUGCAUCUGUAGUAUGCUUCCAGUUUUAAGCCGACAGCGAAGUAACACCUGAGUUGGCUUCUGCUGGGACCCCUCGGCUGUGUUACGCGGUGUUUGUGAGCACAGGUUAGCCACGGAAGCAAUAGAGCUGCACGAGCUGCCUGUCUGCAGUCCUGCGUCCAAGCUGCCAAGGCGAUCUCUCUGUGACGUGGUUAACUCACAGCCUGGAUUAGUUGUUGGUGAAUAACCGUCAUCUGGAAUUUGAACCAGGUCUUGUAAAUUAUCUCGUUUAUAUGGUGAAAGGGAAGGGGAUCGCAUGUCUUUGAACUGUAUGGAGCGCAUUCAUUCCUGAUGCAUAAUAAUAAAAAUAAACCUUGAAAAAUGAGGCAGAAUAGAUGCUUGCAAACUUCAUUGGUUUGGGGGGGCUUUUUUAGGCAUUCAUCAUUACUUUUGCAUUAUUAUUACUAUUUUUAGUUAAAAUUCAACAUUUUGUUUGAAUGCAGAGGUAUUUGAACAGCUCAGGUAGAAUUCACCUUCAUUUCUUACCUGCAGAAAUGGGUAAAUGUGUAGCCCCAAAAUAUCAACAGAAAAGCACAAAAUCUAACACUUUACUAUAGUUCUUUAUUUCAUUUAUGGCCUAUCAGUUUUUUGAAACAGGCAGAUUAAUUACCUUUUGUAACAAGCUCAAAUUAACAUUUUAUGCUUCCUUUUUUAAUUAAAUUAAACUUUAUCCCUGAAAAUUGGGAUGAUUGAGUCAGUGGUUGCUGCGGAAAUUUUCAUUUGAUACAUAAAGCUGUAAUUGGAUGUUUGUUUCCCCCUUGUAGCGUCUCCUAAUCCUCUCACCCUUGGUAAGUGCUGCCUUUUGCAAGGCAUCCAGAAGGAUGAUGUGAGUGUCCUGUAACCUGCUUCAGGCAAAAUGAGCUAGAUAAGCUUAAUAAUUUAAAUUGGUGAUCUGAGCUAACUUGUCUGAAUUUUUGCCUGAAUGAUAAGAUAGUGCUUGCAUGAAGUAUUCUGCUGACUUUGUGGUGGAGGUGGUAGCACCCUGGCAGAGAGGCAGAUGGCAAGCUCAGGUGGUUAAUAUUGUCUUCUAGUUCAGCUUAACUUUGUGAAGAUACACAUCCACUUGCUUUAGUGUUUUUAGGACAAGGGCUGUUCUUACAUCUCGUUUUACAGAGAAUUUAUUACCAGGCUUUUAUACCUAGCUAAAACAUGUUUUAUAGUAGUCUAACCCAGACUACAUUCUUACCAAUGUUUGUUUUAACCAUUGAUUAGCCUCUGUUCAUUGGAGGUGAGGGGGUAGGACAGGACAUAUUUCAGGUUUUGUGAAGAACUGCACUUCUGGGAACAUGUAGGUUUUCAUUUUGACAAUUGGGACAGUAGGAGGUACAAUUUAGGAAGUUGAUCUGUAUCUGAAUGUUUUAUACUGACUUUAGCUCACCACAAAUUGCUAGUCUCUUUCCUGGUCAUCAUCAGAUGAAUGUUUUUUCUUUUUUCUUUUUUUCCCUUUAAGGAAGGAGAACUGUACCUGAGUUGCAGUUUUCCGUUUGAGGUUUUACAGCACAAUGGCAGAUUCUUGCCUCUUCUGCCUCAGAAACGAAUGAAGCAAGUUCAGAAUGAAGUUCUUUUUCCUGCUGAGAGAAAUCCAUUUUUCUGUGGAUCUCCUAAAAGUGGAUUUGGCCAGACUUCAUGAGACAAGGCUGACACAGACAGUGCUGCAGGCUCCUCUAAAGAGUGAGGUAAAGGAGUUACCUGUCUCUCCACUGAAAUGGAAGCCAUGAAGACAAGAUACAUACGCUUAUACCCAACUUUGUCUCUUAAGGAUCAUGUUGUUGCACGUGUCCUGUUAUCUGUCCCUUAUAAUAGUUUCUAGAGCCAAGAGGGAUGUAGACAUCUCAAAGGUAGAACACACCAAUCGUUUCUGUUCUGAAGAGGGGAAAAAUACACAGACAGACUGAUGCGUAUUGAAGCAUGCAAUAUGAACUCAACCUGUGGAUCAAAGAAUCCACAAAAGAAAGCCCCAGAUUUAGCUCUCAGUUAAAAUUUCUCUUCUAUGUCAGUUUUCAGACAGUCAUCAGUAAGGGAUAAACUCGUGAUGCAGAACUGUGAUAAAAACGUUGCAAAUAAUUCAGUCGGCAACCAGGCAUAAGCCUACUGGAAAACUGGCUUCAAUAGUCUUGCUGUUUAAAAUGAUGAAUUUUAGCUGGAACUAUGAUAUGCACUGCAUUUCUUCCAGAAGAUGAGAUUGUAGUGAUAUGACUGUAAUACGACAGGAAAACGUCACUGUCCCUCGUCCCCUCUCCCCUAGGCUUGUCAAAUCAUUAUAAAACAGUUUUUUCUGUCUAUACUGUAUAUUAAUAAGGAGUACCAGAGAGUAGUUGUGAUCUUAUUUUUCUUUCUGCUUUUCUUCACAUUUGGGAGCAAGUACUUUUUGUUUGUUUACAAAUUGAUGAAUUUAGGUUUACAUUGUUACAUAAAAAUUGGUAAAUCUAACUUGACAUCUACAUUCAAUUAACCACAAGAAGUUUUUCACCUGGCAAACUUUGCAACAUUUGAAAUAUUCCCUCCUUCCUGAUACUGAAGCAAAAUUUUCUCUGUGUUAAAUUACAUUCAGUUGCAUUUUCUUUAGAGACAUCUUGUUGGCAGCUGUUACAGUAAAAAGGGGAAACAUUGAAUUCAUUGCAGUUGAUCUAUGGUAAAAUUAAUUUACAAGCCAAAUAACUUUUGGUUACAAUGAGGUAAUCUCAGUUAUAUAAGACAACCUGCUGGGUGCAAGUCAUUCUCAAGUACAAGUCACCUGUAGUUUUACAAGACAAAAUGCGAAGACUUACUUAAGUUUUUAGAUAAGCAAUUUUUAGACAGUAUCAGUGACUCAUAUAGACAAACUGAUUAGAAAGUCUGCAAGAGGAGAUGUAACCUUUGCAGUAAUUCUUUGCAGGUCACAGGGUUGAUCAGUUUGAGAAACAGAUGAUUAGGCUAGAAGUCUUUGGUUCAAAAAAAAGACAACUUGGGAUGUGACAGAGGUUGCAAAAUCAUUAGUGAGAUUAGAUAAAGACCAGCUGUUCAGCACCUCUUCUAAUACAAGAACUUUGGAGACACCGCAGAAGCCUAACAGAAUCAGGACAUGUACUUGAUUCAAUACAUGGCAGACUCGUGAAGCUUAUUUCCAAAGGAUAUUAAAGGUCUACUUGUGUUGAGCAAGUGAAGUGGUAUAUGGAAUAGAAAUAUGCUGAGGACUGCUAAAUAUAGGGAGCCACAUCUGACUCGGAAGGUUCCCUGAGAUGAAAAUAGUCACAGUUUGGAAUAGCAUUUGGAGAAAGUGUUGUGUAUUUGUAACUUGUGCCUUGCCCUUCCUCUUUCGUACAGUCUUAUAUGGCAAUGUUGAAGACAGUAUGCUAGUCCUGCUUUUGGUCUGAUUUGAUUGAACUGAUCUCAAUUUUUAUGUCAUGUCCUGAUUUGGUAAAUAAGAAAGGAUGUGACCUUGAAGUAGAUUUUGAAUAUGAUUUUGUUGAUUUUGCCAUGCAGAUAGACUGUUUGAACCGCAGUAAACACAGUAAGACUUAAAGUAGGUGUCACGUAGCUAGGUUGUAACCAUCUUCUACCUACAUCUAGGUUGUCUUCGUGCUUCUACUGACGGAUUCCAUGAUCAAGAAUGUGGGUGCUGUGGAUAGGCAGAGGAUCGCUGCAUUGUGCGUGACAGGUACGCAGCAGAAUCCUUCACUGAUCUGGUAAAAAGACUUAAGUAAUGGGCUUAAGUCACUUCUUUGUAGAAGUGACCCUGCUCCAUCCAAGUCUGUAUUGAGAAUCCUGUGGAAACAAAUUGUAUAAAUGCAGGAGGCAAAGAAUUUUCUCUCCACUGUCUCCCAAAAUGGGAAGGGGGCAUACUACUCUAGAAAUGGCACAAGAGGUGUUCAGAAAGGGCAUGGAAGCAGGUCUAGAUUUGGAAGCAGCACAGCUUCGUCUGCAUGGUUGCUGCUUGUUGGGCUAAUUAGGGACAGGAACUGAAUGACAGAGUUCAUUUGUGGAGAGAAAAGGGGCUGAGCAAGAUAAUUAAGAAAUGCUGGCCUGGGCAGGUCUCUGUGAUAGUAACAAAGAGGAAAAACGCUACUUUGCCCUUAACUUGGCAGCAGAUAGCACUGCUGCACUGACUUAGUUGUUAUGGAUAGAUGACUAUUAAUUUUUUUACCACUGACUUGACUCUUGCAAGAAACCUUGAAAUAGCAAAAUUAGCAUAUUUCCAUGAUGUUUUGGGGCCUCCUACUCUUAUUGAAGCAAAGAUCAUUGACUCAGUUUCCAGCUGGACUGGACUCUCAAGUGGAGUGCAUAGGGAUACUGGUAGGACAGUACUUCUGUAGUACGUUCCUGUUUGUUUGAAACUUCUUAACCUGACUGAGAUGCUCGGGCAUGCCAGGAGGAGGCUUUUUUUUUCUAGGCAGAAGUUGCUGGCUUAUGUUUAAAAGAACUAUUCUGGAGCUUGGAAUUUUAAUUAUUUUGAAUCAACUUUUGGUUAAAUUGUUGCUAUUAAAUAAAGUAUUCAUCUUCUGGAAAAGACAUUUAACUGGCUGGGCAUAAUCGUGCUAGACAGUGUAUUUAUUUAUUUCAGUUUAAAUCUGCUGCUGCUAGGCUUUGGGUUGCUUUUCCUAAAGAAACACUAGGAGGAGGGGUACAUAAAUCAAAAUUUUAUUCUGAACUAAUUGCCUUGUUCUGAAUUGCAUAAAACAUUUGAUCUUUUUCACUACAAAAUUUCAUGACAGAAGGAUCAUUAAUAUUAAAGAUAAUAUGAAAUGCAAAAGUAUUUGUUGCACUUUAGAUGGAAGCUUCUCUUUGCAUGAUGUUUUACUUUUCUUG